ACACAUGCAAGUCGAGCGGAGACAGUGAGUAGCUUGCUAUGAGCUGUUUUAGCGGCGGACGGGUGAGUAACGCGUGAGCAACCUUUCCCAGACAGGGGAAUAACACACCGAAAGGUGUACUAAUACCGCAUAAGACCACGGGAUCACAUGGUUCUGGGGUAAAAGAUUUAUCGGUUUGGGGUGGGCUCGCGUCCGAUUAGGUAGUUGGUGAGGUAACGGCCCACCAAGCCGACGAUCGGUAGCCGACCUGAGAGGGUGAUCGGCCACAUUGGGACUGAGACACGGCCCAAACUCCUACGGGAGGCAGCAGUGGGGAAUAUUGGGCAAUGGGGGGAACCCUGACCCAACAACGCCGCGUGGAGGAAGAAGGUUUUCGGAUCGUAAACUCCUGUCCUUGGAGACGAGUAGAAGACGGUAUCCAAGGAGGAAGCCCCGGCUAACUACGUGCCAGCAGCCGCGGUAAUACGUAGGGGGCAAGCGUUGUCCGGAAUAAUUGGGCGUAAAGGGCGCGUAGGCGGCUCGGUAAGUCUGGAGUGAAAGUCCUGCUUUUAAGGUGGGAAUUGCUUUGGAUACUGUCGGGCUUGAGUGCAGGAGAGGUUAGUGGAAUUCCCAGUGUAGCGGUGAAAUGCGUAGAGAUUGGGAGGAACACCAGUGGCGAAGGCGACUAACUGGACUGUAACUGACGCUGAGGCGCGAAAGUGUGGGGAGCAAACAGGAUUAGAUACCCUGGUAGUCCACACUAUAAACGAUGAAUGCUAGGUGUAGGGG
rnacentral:rRNA from 1 species